UUUUUUUAAUUUAAAGCACUAUUUAAGUGAAAAGAAACUUAUUGCAACAAAUUUCCAUCAAAAUAUAUCACAUUUAAAAUUUUUGCUACAUUGCUCAAAAAUGAGGAAAAUUUUACAUUUUCUCAAACAGGGUAAGGAACUUGGUUCCUCGAAUAACUUCUGGCACAGACAUCUAAGGGCAUGGCUGUCCAAGAAGAAAAUGUAGCCAUUGGUGCCAUCUAUCGACCACAGGUUAAAGUUUGGCGAUCCGUUGGAUACCGACCGAGUUAUAGGCAAAAGUUGGUGCAAAAAUGAGGAAAAUUUUACAUUUUCUCAAACAGGGUAUGGAACUUGGUUCCUGGAAUAACUUCUGGCACAGACAUCUCAGGGCAUGGCUGUCCAAGAAGAAAAUGUAGCCAUUGGUGCCAUCUAUCGACCACAGGUUAAAGAUUGGCGAUUCGUUGGAUACCGACCGAGUUAUAGGCAAAAUUUUGUGCAAAAAUGAGGAAAAUUUUCAUUUUUGUUUUUGAAUUGUUUGAUUUUUUUAUUAUUUUUCACUCUUUUUUUCAUUUCAAGCAUUAUUAGAGUGAAAAGAAACUCAUUGCAACCCAUUGGCAUUAAAAUAAAACAAUUUAAUUUUUUUUGCAAAAUUUCCCAAAAAAAUCGUAAGGGGUAAGCCUUAUGAAAUUUUCGAGUGAAAAAUUUUUUUGAAAUUUUUUUCUGAUUUUUUAUUUUUUUUGAAUUUAAAGCACUAUUUAAGUGAAAAGAAACUUAUUGCAACCAAUUCCCAGCAAAAAAUAUAACAUUUAAAAUUUUUGCUAAAUUGCUCAAAAAUGAGGAAAAUUUUACAUUUUCUCAAACAGGGUAAGGAACUUGGUUCCUCGAAUAACUUCUGGCACAGACAUCUAAGGGCAUGGCUGUCCAAGAAGAAAAUGUAGCCAUUGGUGCCAUCUAUCGACCACAGGUUAAAGUUUGGCGAUCCGUUGGAUACCGACCGAGUUAUAGGCAAAAAUUGGUGCAAAAAUGAGGAAAUUUUUACAUUUUCUCAAACAGGGUAUGGAACUUGGUUCCUGGAAUAACUUCUGGCACAGACAUCUGAGGGCAUGGCUGUCCAAGAAGAAAAUGUAGCCAUUGGUGCCAUCUAUCGACCACAGGUUAAAGAUUGGCGAUUCGUUGGAUACCGACCGAGUUAUAGGCAAAAUUUGGUGCAAAAAUGAGGAAAAUUUUCAUUUUUUUUUUAAUUUUUUGAAUUUUUUAUUAUUUUUCACUCUUUUUUUCAUUUCAAGCAUUAUUAGAGUGAAAAGAAACUCAUUGCAACCCAUUGGCAUUAAAAUAAAACAAUUUAAUUUUUUUUGCAAAAUUUCCCAAAAAAAUCGUAAGGGGUAAGCCUUAUGAAAUUUUCGAGUGAAAAGUUUUUUUGAAAUUUUUUUCUGAUUUUUUAUUCUUUUUUUUAAUUUAAAGCACUAUUUAAGUGAAAAGAAACUUAUUGCAACAAAUUCCCAUCAAAAAAUAUAACAUUUAAAAUUUUUGCUACAUUGCUCAAAAAUGAGGAAAAUUUUACAUUUUCUCAAACAGGGUAUGGAACUUGGUUCCUCGAAUAACUUCUGGCACAGACAUCUAAGAGCAUGGCUGUCCAAGAAGAAAAUGUAGCCAUUAGUGCCAUCUAUCGACCACAGGUUAAAGAUUGGCGAUUCGUUGGAUACCGACCGAGUUAUAGGCAAAAGUUGGUGCAAAAAUGAGGAAAAUUUUACAUUUUCUCAAACAGGGUAUGGAACUUGGUUCCUGGAAUAACUUCUGGCACAGACAUCUGAGGGCAUGGCUGUCCAAGAAGAAAAUGUAGCCAUUGGUGCCAUCUAUCGACCACAGGUUAAAGAUUGGCGAUUCGUUGGAUACCGACCGAGUUAUAGGCAAAAUUUGGUGCCAAAAUGAGGAAAAUUUUCAUUUUUUUUUUUAAUUUUUUGAUUUUUUUACUAUUUUUCACUCUUUUUUUCAUUUCAAGCAUUAUUAGAGUGAAAAGAAACUCAUUGCAACCCAUUGGCAUUAAAAUAAAACAAUUUAAUUUUUUUGCAAAAUUUCCCAAAAAAAUCGUAAGGGGUAAGCCUUAUGAAAUUUUCGAGUGAAAAAUUUUUUUGAAAUUUUUUUCUGAUUUUUUAUUCUUUUUUUAAUUUAAAGCACUAUUUAAGUGAAAAGAAACUUAUUGCAACAAAUUCCCAUCAAAAUAUAUCACAUUUAAAAUUUUUGCUACAUUGCUCAAAAAUGAGGAAAAUUUUACAUUUUCUCAAACAGGGUAAGGAACUUGGUUCCUCGAAUAACUUCUGGCACAGACAUCUAAGAGCAUGGCUGUCCAAGAAGAAAAUGUGGCCAUUGGUGCCAUCUAUCGACCACAGGUUAAAGUUUGGCGAUCCGUUGGAUACCGACCGAGUUAUAGGCAAAAGUUGGUGCAAAAAUGAGGAAAUUUUUACAUUUUCUCAAACAGGGUAUGGAACUUGGUUCCUGGAAUAACUUCUGGCACAGACAUCUGAGGGCAUGGCUGUCCAAGAAGAAAAUGUAGCCAUUGGUGCCAUCUAUCGACCACAGGUUAAAGAUUGGCGAUUCGUUGGAUACCGACCGAGUUAUAGGAACAAUUUUGUGUAAAAAUGAGGAAAAUUUUCAUUUUUUUUUGAAUUUUUUGAUUUUUUUAUUAUUUUUGACUAAUUUUUUCAUUUCAAGCAUUAUUAGAGUGAAAAGAAACUCAUUGCUACCCAUUGGCAUUAAAAUAAAACAAUUUAAUUUUUUUUGCAAAAUUUCCCAAAAAAAUCGUAAGGGGUAAGCCUUAUGAAAUUUUCGAGUGAAAAAUUUUUUUGAAUUUUUUUUCUGAUUUUUUAUUCUUUUUUUAAUUUAAAGCACUAUUUAAGUGAAAAGAAACUUAUUGCAACAAAUUCCCAUCAAAAUAUAUAACAUUUAAAAUUUUUGCUACAUUGCUCAAAAAUGAGGAAAAUUUUACAUUAUCUCAAACAGGGUAAGGAACUUGGUUCCUCGAAUAACUUCUGGCACAGACAUCUGAGGGCAUGGCUGUCCAAGAAGAAAAUGUAGCCAUUGGUGCCAUCUAUCGACCACAGGUUAAAGUUUGGCGAUCCGUUGGAUACCGACCGAGUUAUAGGCAAAAGUUGGUGCAAAAAUGAGGAAAAUUUUACAUUUUCUCAAACAGGGUAUGGAACUUGGUUCCUGGAAUAACUUCUGGCACAGACAUCUAAGGUCAUGGCUGUCCAAGAAGAAAAUGUAGCCAUUGGUGCCAUCUAUCGACCACAGGUUAAAGAUUGGCGAUCCGUUGGAUACCGACCGAGUUAUAGGCAAAAGUUGGUGCAAAAAUGAGGAAAAUUUUACAUUUUCUCAAACAGGGUAUGGAACUUGGUUCCUGGAAUAACUUCUGGCACAGACAUCUAAGGUCAUGGCUGUCCAAGAAGAAAAUGUAGCCAUUGGUGCCAUCUAUCGACCACAGGUUAAAGAUUGGCGAUUCGUUGGAUACCGACCGAGUUAUAGGCAAAAUUUGGUGUAAAAAUGAGGAAAAUUUUCAUUUUUUUUUUAAUUUUUUGAUUUUUUUAUUAUUUUUGACUCAUUUUUUCAUUUCAAGCAUUAUUAGAGUGAAAAGAAACUCAUUGCAACCCAUUGGCAUUAAAAAAUAAAACAAUUUAAUUUUUUUUGCAAAAUUUUCCAAAAAAAUCGUAAGGGGUAAGCCUUAUGAAAUUUUCGAGUGAAAAAUUUUUUGAAAUUUUUUUCUGAUUUUUUAUUCUUUUUUUAACUUAAAGCACUAUUUAAGUGAAAAGAAACUUAUUGCAACAAAUUCCCAUCAAAAUAUAUCACAUUUAAAAUGUUUGCUACAUUGCUCAAAAAUGAGGAAAAUUUUACAUUUUCUCAAACAGGGUAAGGAACUUGGUUCCUCGAAUAACUUCUGGCACAGACAUCUAAGGGCAUGGCUGUCCAAGAAGAAAAUGUAGCCAUUAGUGCCAUCUAUCGACCACAGGUUAAAGAUUGGCGAUUCGUUGGAUACCGACCGAGUUAUAGGCAAAAGUUGGUGCAAAAAUGAGGAAAAUUUUACAUUUUCUCAAACAGGGUAUGGAACUUGGUUCCUGGAAUAACUUCUGGCACAGACAUCUGAAGGCAUGGCUGUCCAAGAAGAAAAUGUAGCCAUUGGUGCCAUCUAUCGACCACAGGUUAAAGAUUGGCGAUUCGUUGGAUACCGACCGAGUUAUAGGCAAAAUUUGGUGCAAAAAUGAGGAAAAUUUUCAUUUUUUUUUUUAAUUUUUUGAUUUUUUUAUUAUUUUUGACUAAUUUUUUCAUUUCAAGCAUUAUUAGAGUGAAAAGAAACUCAUUGCAACCCAUUGGCAUUAAAAUAAAACAAUUUAAUUUUUUUUGCAAAAUUUCCCAAAAAAAUCGUAAGGGGUAAGCCUUAUGAAAUUUUCGAGUGAAAAAUUUUUUUGAAAUUUUUUUCUGAUUUUUUAGUUUUUUUUUAAUUUAAAGCACUAUUUAAGUGAAAAGAAACUUAUUGCAACAAAUUCCCAGCAAAAAAUAUAACAUUUAAAAUUUUUGCUAAAUUGCUCAGAAAUGAGGAAAAUUUUACAUUUUCUCAAACAGGGUAUGGAACUUGGUUCCUCGAAUAACUUCUGGCACAGACAUCUAAGGGCAUGGCUGUCCAAGAAGAAAAUGUAGUCAUUGGUGCCAUCUAUCGACCACAGGUUAAAGAUUGGCGAUUCGUUGGAUACCGACCGAGUUAUAGGCAAAAGUUGGUGCAAAAAUGAGGAAAAUUUUACAUUUUCUCAAACAGGGUAUGGAACUUGGUUCCUGGAAUAACUUCUGGCACAGACAUCUGAAGGCAUGGCUGUCCAAGAAGAAAAUGUAGCCAUUGGUGCCAUCUAUCGACCACAGGUUAAAGAUUGGCGAUUCGUUGGAUACCGACCGAGUUAUAGGCAAAAUUUGGUGCAAAAAUGAGGAAAAUUUUACAUUUUCUCAAACAGGGUAUGGAACUUGGUUCCUGGAAUAACUUCUGGCACAGACAUCUGAGGGCAUGGCUAUCCAAGAAGAAAAUGUAGCCAUUGGUGCCAUCUAUCCACCACAGGUUAAAGAUUGGCGAUUCGUUGGAUACCGACCGAGUUAUAGGCAAAAAUUUGUGCAAAAAUGAGGAAAAUUUUCAUUUUUUUUUUUAAUUUUUUGAUUUUUUUAUUAUUUUUGACUAAUUUUUUCAUUUCAAGCAUUAUUAGAGUGAAAAGAAACUCAUUGCAACCCAUUGGCAUUAAAAUAAAACAAUUUAAUUUUUUUUGCAAAAUUUCCCAAAAAAAUCGUAAGGGGUAAGCCUUAUGAAAUUUUCGAGUGAAAUUUUUUUUUGAAAUUUUUUUCUGAUUUUUUAUUCUUUUUUUAAUUUAAAGCACUAUUUAAGUGAAAAGAAACUUAUUGCAACAAAUUCCCAUCAAAAUAUAUCACAUUUAAAAUUUUUGCUACAUUGCUCAAAAAUGAGGAAAAUUUUACAUUUUCUCAAACAGGGUAAGGAACUUGGUUCCUCGAAUAACUUCUGGCACAGACAUCUAAGGGCAUGGCUGUCCAAGAAGAAAAUGUAGCCAUUGGUGCCAUCUAUCGACCACAGGUUAAAGUUUGGCGAUUCGUUGGAUACCGACCGAAUUAUAGGCAAAAUUUGGUGCAAAAAUGAGGAAAAUUUUACAUUUUCUCAAACAGGGUAUGGAACUUGGUUCCUGGAAUAACUUCUGGCACAGACAUCUAAGGUCAUGGCUGUCCAAGAAGAAAAUGUAGCCAUUGGUGCCAUCUAUCGACCACAGGUUAAAGAUUGGCGAUUCGUUGGAUACCGACCGAGUUAUAGGCAAAAUUUGGUGUAAAAAUGAGGAAAAUUUUCAUUUUUUUAUUUUGAAUUUUUUGAUUUUUUUAUUAUUUUUUGACUAAUUUUUUCAUUUCAAGCAUUAUUAGAGUGAAAAGAAACUCAUUGCAACCCAUUGGCAUUAAAAUAAAACAAUUUAAUUUUUUUUGCAAAAUUUCCCAAAAAAAUCGUAAGGGGUAAGCCUUAUGAAAUUUUCGAGUGAAAAUUUUUUUUGAAAUUUUUUUCUGAUUUUUUAGUUUUUUUUAAUUUAAAGCACUAUUUAAGUGAAAAGAAACUUAUUGCAACAAAUUCCCAGCAAAAAAUAUAACAUUUAAAAUUUUUGCUAAAUUGCUCAGAAAUGAGGAAAAUUUUACAUUUUCUCAAACAGGGUAUGGAACUUGGUUCCUCGAAUAACUUCUGGCACAGACAUCUAAGGGCAUGGCUGUCCAAGAAGAAAAUGUAGUCAUUGGUGCCAUCUAUCGACCACAGGUUAAAGAUUGGCGAUUCGUUGGAUACCGACCGAGUUAUAGGCAAAAGUUGGUGCAAAAAUGAGGAAAAUUUUACAUUUUCUCAAACAGGGUAUGGAACUUGGUUCCUGGAAUAACUUCUGGCACAGACAUCUGAGGGCAUGGCUGUCCAAGAAGAAAAUGUAGCCAUUGGUGCCAUCUAUCGACCACAGGUUAAAGAUUGGCGAUUCGUUGGAUACCGACCGAGUUAUAGGCAAAAUUUUGUGCAAAAAUGAGGAAAAUUUUCAUUUUUUUUUGAAUUUUUUGAUUUUUUUAUUAUUUUUCACUCGUUUUUUCAUUUCAAGCAUUAUUAGAGUGAAAAGAAACUCAUUGCAACCCAUUGGCAUUAAAAUAAAACAAUUUAAUUUUUUUUGCAAAAUUUCCCAAAAAAAUCGUAAGGGGUAAGCCUUAUGAAAUUUUCGAGUGAAAAAUUUUUUUGAAAUUUUUUUCUGAUUUUUUAUUUUUUUUUUAAUUUAAAGCACUGUUUAAGUGAAAAGAAACUUAUUGCAACAAAUUCCCAGCAAAAAAUAUAACAUUUAAAAUUUUUGCUACAUUGCUCAAAAAUGAGGAAAAUUUUACAUUUUCUCAAACAAGGUAUGGAACUUGGUUCCUGGAAUAACUUCUGGCACAGACAUCUGAGGGCAUGGCUGUCCAAGAAGAAAAUGUAGCCAUUGGUGCCAUCUAUCGACCACAGGUUAAAGAUUGGCGAUUCGUUGGAUACCGACCGAGUUAUAGGCAAAAUUUGGUGCAAAAAUGAGGAAAAUUUUCAUUUUUUUUUUUAAUUUUUUGAUUUUUUUAUUAUUUUUCACUCUUUUUUUCAUUUCAAGCAUUAUUAGAGUGAAAAGAAACUCAUUGCAACCCAUUGGCAUUAAAAUAAAACAAUUUAAUUUUUUUUGCAAAAUUUCCCAAAAAAAUCGUAAGGGGUAAGCCUUAUGAAAUUUUCGAGUGAAAAAUUUUUUUGAAAUUUUUUUCUGAUUUUUUAUUCUUUUUUUAAUUUAAAGCACUAUUUAAGUGAAAAGAAACUUAUUGCAACAAAUUCCCAUCAAAAUAUAUCACAUUUAAAAUGUUUGCUACAUUGCUCAAAAAUGAGGAAAAUUUUACAUUCUCUCAAACAGGGUAUGGAACUUGGUUCCUCGAAUAACUUCUGGCACAGACAUCUAAGGGCAUGGCUGUCCAAGAAGAAAAUGCAGCCAUUGGUGCCAUCUAUCGACCACAGGUUAAAGUUUGGCGAUCCGUUGGAUACCGACCGAGUUAUAGGCAAAAGUUGGUGCAAAAAUGAGGAAAAUUUUACAUUUUCUCAAACAGGGUAAGGAACUUGGUUCCUCGAAUAACUUCUGGCACAUACAUCUAAGGGCAUGGCUGUCCAAGAAGAAAAUGUAGCCAUUGGUGUCAUCUAUCGACCACAGGUUAAAGUUUGGCGAUCCGUUGGAUACCGACCGAGUUAUAGGCAAAAGUUGGUGCAAAAAUGAGGAAAAUUUUACAUUUUCUCAAACAGGGUAUGGAACUUGGUUCCUGGAAUAACUUCUGGCACAGACAUCUGAGGGCAUGGCUGUGCAAGAAGAAAAUGUAGCCAUUGAUGCCAUCUAUCGACCACAGGUUAAAGAUUGGAGAUGCGUUAGAUACCGACCGAGUUAUAGGGAAAACUUGGUGCAAAAAUGAGCCUUAGUAGAUUGACAAAUUUUUAGAUUUUUUCAAUUUUUUUAUUAUUUUUUAUCUUUUUGUAAAUUGAAGCAUUGUUUGAGUGAAAAGAAACAUAUUGCAACAAUUUCGCAUUAAAAUAAAACAAUUUUUUAAAUUUUGAUAAAUUGCUCAAAAAAAUGGCAA